UCAUUGGCACAGCAGACUCCUGCUGUGACCCCUGCUAAAAUAAGCAUGAAAGCCAAGCUAGAUACCAGAUAGAGCUGAAUACGGGUGUAAGGUGAGUGUGAACAGAUCUGGUUUCUGAAGGGGCCGUCCUGUGGUACAUCAGCCCCGCCCUGCCGGGUUCCAAGCAGCUUCUCCUCGCAGCUCUCAGAAACAUCAGUGUGGCCAGAGCUCAGCAUGUAGGGCAGAUUCCCCAGGCCUCAUGCCAAGACGUAAAUCUUGGCAACCCCGGUUUUCCCACUGUCCUUUAGCUGCUCAGGACAGCAUGAUGCUGCUUCUGGACACACAUGUUUAUUUGGCAAAAGCAAAUAUUCACCAGGGGCCUUUCUCGACAGGAGAAAAAAUGGCAGAAGCAUCCUCGGUUCAGCCGGUGUGGUGCCCUUGUCUUUCUUCUCCUCUCCAUGGGUCUGCUCCUGAGCCCCGCUGUCCUCCAUGUGUUUAGCUAAUCUCAAGGCUUCUUGGGAUUCAUCUUUUGUCUUCAUUUGCUCAAGGGCAGAGUAGUCCCUGCCAAAGACUGACUCUUCCAACAGACAGCCUCCUCCUUCCCCGAGUUUCACCCCAGUGAGAAUCCCAGCCCUAACCUGGCUGGGCACCUGCCCAGGGCACCCCGGGUCCUCUGUGGUGGAAGCUGAAUUUUCAUGCUUAGUUCAGCUUAGCUGGAAACCCCAAGCAGACCAGAGCACGAGCAGGCAGCACGGCUGGGAGGCGUUUACUCUCACACCGCUUUUAACAAAUGUGUGCUCCCAAUGUGUGCUGGGCUUUCCCAGCAAGACUUCACCUGACUAGUUGACAUGAAGCCCGGGGACCCCAGUGAGUGUAGAGAGCCAGGCCCAUGUGAAACAGCAGCGGGGAAGGUCCCUAGACCCAGACACCAAGUCCCCCCGAGGCCAACCAGGACCUCCCCCAACAGAUGUCGGAUGUGUUUCUAUGAGGCUCUGACCCACCCAGAAAAGCCACCUCCCAUGCCAAGUCAGGAAUCAUGACCUAAUUCUGUGUCUAAUCUCUUUCCAAAAGGACGCCAGUCCUAUUGGAUCAGGUUCCACCCUAAAGACUUCAUUCUACGUUAAUGACCUAUUUUUUUAUUUUAAUUUUUAUUUUCUUUGAGACAAAGUCUCACUCUGUCACCCAGGCUGGAACAUAGUGGUGUCAUCUCGGCUCACCACAACCUCUACCUCCCAGGUUCAAGCAAUCCUCCUGACUCAGCCUCAGGAGUAGCUGGGAUUACAGGUGCGCACCACCACACCGGGCUAAUUUUUGUAUUUUUAGUGGAGACAGGGUUUUACCAUGUUGGCCAGGCUGGUCUCGAACUCCUGACCUCAAGUGAUCCACCCGCCUCGGCCUCCCAAAGUGCUGGGAUUACAGGCGUGAGCCACCACGCCUGGCCUAGACUUAAUGACCUCUUUAAAGGCCCCGCCUCCAAAUACAGUCUCAUUCUGAGGUCCUGGGGGUUAGGGCUUCAAUACCGAAAUUUGUGGGGGACACAAGUCAGUCCACAGCACUGAGCAUCUCCGUUCACUUAGUAGAGUGAGAACCCCCCAGGUAUUUCUGGGGGUUCCUUUGACGGAAGCUGUGAAGCUCAGAACAUUCUCCCUGUGACAGAGUCCGUCCAGGUCCACUGUUGCCUUCUCCCCUCCCCUUUCCAGGCUGAGACGGGCAGCACCUCCCAGCCCUCCUUGCGGCCAGGUAGGGCUGUGGGCCUGGGUCUACCCCCCACAGUGUGGGAAGAUGUGAGGUGCACCAAUCUGGGACCCAGCCAGAGCAUCCCAGGGGUCAUCCCCGCUCCCCGGUCCACCUCCAUUCCCCAUGGAAGCUGUGAGGGAGGGUGCCCCACUCCAGGGUCACUGCUUGGAGAGAGUUGCCAGGAGGGCCAGUGCCAGGAGCUCCCACGCCGGGCUCCUCGUUGCCGGGCCCUGAGCUCUCGGGUUAUUUGUUACCGCAGCACAUCCUUGUGUCCCUCACAUUCCCAUGGGCCAGACAACGCUCGUCACCCCUCGGCAAUGCCAGCAGCAGCCAUUCACCGACUCACACAGUCCCCUCUCAUGCUCCAAACAAAUGUCUCCUGGGUACUGGCACGCCAGGCUCUGCAGCUGAGUCCCGGGGUGGAGAGGGGCACCAACCAGGAACUUGGGAUGAGGGAAGCCCCCGAGUGCCCUGGUUAAGCAUAAAGUCGGGAUGCCCAGCUAAACUUGAGUUUCAGAUAAGCACAAAUAAUUUUUCAGUGUAAGUAUAUCCCAAAUGUUGCAUGGAUUCUCUCCACGUGGACAUGGUGGGUACAUCGGCUCAUGCUCCUGCUGACAGCCAUCAGUGUCCAUUAGAAGGGAGCCCCGGGGCUGCAGA
rnacentral:lncRNA from 1 species